rnacentral:rRNA from 2 species
GCCCUGGCAGUCAGAGGCGAUGAAGGGCGUGCUAAUCUGCGAUAAGCGCCGGUAAGGUGAUAUGAACCGUUAUAACCGGCGAUACCCGAAUGGGGAAACCCAGUGUGAUUCGUCACACUAUCAUUAACUGAAUCCAUAGGUUAAUGAGGCGAACCGGGGGAACUGAAACAUCUAAGUACCCCGAGGAAAAGAAAUCAACCGAGAUUCCCCCAGUAGCGGCGAGCGAACGGGGAGGAGCCCAGAGCCUGAAUCAGCAUGUGUGUUAGUGGAAGCGUCUGGAAAGGCGCGCGAUACAGGGUGACAGCCCCGUACACAAAAGCGCAUGUGCUGUGAGCUCGAUGAGUAGGGCGGGACACGUGGUAUCCUGUCUGAAUAUGGGGGGACCAUCCUCCAAGGCUAAAUACUCCUGACUGACCGAUAGUGAACCAGUACCGUGAGGGAAAGGCGAAAAGAACCCCGGCGAGGGGAGUGAAAAAGAACCUGAAACCGUGUACGUACAAGCAGUGGGAGCACAGGUUUACCUGUGUGACUGCGUACCUUUUGUAUAAUGGGUCAGCGACUUAUAUUCUGUAGCAAGGUUAACCGAAUAGGGGAGC